UCUACGGAUGUGAAGUCAUUGAUGCCAUGCUUCCAGGAAAAGCCUCUAAGCUUCAGAUUGUAAGGAAUCGUACCCCAAACCGACACAGGUGGUCGGGUAGAGAAUACCAAGGCGCUUGAGAGAACUCGGGUGAAGGAACUAGGCAAAAUGGUACCGUAACUUCGGGAGAAGGUACGCUCUCGACGGUGAAGUCCCUCGCGGAUGGAGCUAUUGAGAGUCGCAGAUACCAGGUGGCUGCAACUGUUUAUUAAA
rnacentral:rRNA from 1 species